rnacentral:rRNA from 1 species
GGAGCUUUAAACCUGACUACACCCUUAUCUAUUAUACCCCCUUAAUCAACAGGACCCUGUCUGUCAGUUUUAGGUUGGGGUGACCACGGAGCACAAAUAAACCUCCAUGAUGAACUGGACUAACCCAUUAUCUAAGAAAAACACCUCAAAGAAUUAGCACACUAACAUAAAAUGAUCCGACACUCGAUCAACGAACCAAGUUACCCUGGGGAUAACAGCGCAAUCUACUUCAAGAGCCCAUAUCGACAAGUGGGUUUACGACCUCGAUGUUGGAUCAGGGUAUCCUAGUGGUGCAGCAGCUACUAAAGGUUCGUUUGUUCAACGAUUAAAACCCU